ACGAACGCUGGCGGCGUGCCUAAUACAUGCCAGUAGAACGCUGAAGGAGGAGCUUGCUUCUCUGGAUGAGUUGCGAACGGGUGAGUAACGCGUAGGUAACCUGCCUGGUAGCGGGGGAUAACUAUUGGAAACGAUAGCUAAUACCGCAUAAGAUUGACUAUUGCAUGAUAGUCAGUUAAAAGGUGCAAUUGCAUCACUACCAGAUGGACCUGCGUUGUAUUAGCUAGUUGGUGGGGUAACGGCUCACCAAGGCGACGAUACAUAGCCGACCUGAGAGGGUGAUCGGCCACACUGGGACUGAGACACGGCCCAGACUCCUACGGGAGGCAGCAGUAGGGAAUCUUCGGCAAUGGACGGAAGUCUGACCGAGCAACGCCGCGUGAGUGAAGAAGGUUUUCGGAUCGUAAAGCUCGGUUGUAAGAGAAGAACGAGUGUGAGAGUGGAAAGUUCACACUGUGACGGUAGCUUACCAGAAAGGGACGGCUAACUACGUG
rnacentral:rRNA from 1 species